GCUAAUACAUGCAAGUCGAGCGGAGUUUUGAAAAGCUUGCUUUUCAAAACUUAGCGGCGGACGGGUGAGUAACACGUGGGCAACCUGCCCUUGAGACGGGGAUAACUCCGGGAAACCGGAGCUAAUACCGGAUAACACAUAUCUUCGCAUGAGGAUAUGUUAGAAGGUGGCUUUUAGCUACCACUCAAGGAUGGGCCCGCGGCGCAUUAGCUAGUUGGUGAGGUAACGGCUCACCAAGGCGACGAUGCGUAGCCGACCUGAGAGGGUGAUCGGCCACACUGGGACUGAGACACGGCCCAGACUCCUACGGGAGGCAGCAGUAGGGAAUCUUCCGCAAUGGACGAAAGUCUGACGGAGCAACGCCGCGUGAGUGAUGAAGGUUUUCGGAUCGUAAAGCUCUGUUGUUAGGGAAGAACAAGUAUCUGUUGAAUAAGCAGGUACCUUGACGGUACCUAACCAGAAAGCCACGGCUAACUACGUGCCAGCAGCCGCGGUAAUACGUAGGUGGCAAGCGUUGUCCGGAAUUAUUGGGCGUAAAGCGCGCGCAGGCGGUUCCUUAAGUCUGAUGUGAAAGCCCACGGCUCAACCGUGGAGGGUCAUUGGAAACUGGGGAACUUGAGUGCAGAAGGGAAGAGCGGAAUUCCACGUUGUAGGCGGUGAAAUGGCGUAGAAGAUGGUGGAGAACCACCAGGUGGCGAGGCGGCUUCUCUGUCUGUAACUGACCGCUGGCCGCGAAAGCGUGGGGAGCGACAGGAUUAGUACCUGUAUCCGCCGUAAACGAUGAGUCUAAGUGUUAGAGGGUUCGCCCUUAGUGCUGGCACAAGCAUUAACUCCCCUGGGGAGUACGGCCACUGAAUCAAAGAAUGCGGGGACCCGCCAAGCGGUGACAUGGUUUAAUCGAAGCAACGAGACUUCCAGGUCUGACUCCUCUCUCUUCUAGAGAUAGAAGGUUCCCUUCGGGGCAGAGUGCAGGUGGUCAUGGUUCUCAGCUCGGUGUGAGAUUUGGUUAAUCCCCAACGACCAACCUUGUCUUAGUCCACAUUCAGUUGGCACUAAGGUGACCGGUGCAACCGGAGGAAGGUGGGGGAGAGUCAAAUCUUCAUCCCCCUUAUGCCUUGGGUUCCCCACGUCUUCCAAUGGAUGGUCCAAAGGGUGGCAAAACCGGGAGGUUAACCCAAUCCCAUAAACCCAUUUUCAGUUGGGAUGUUAGCCUCCAAUUCCCCUCCAGGAACCGGGAAUCCUUGGUAAUCGGGGAUCACCAUGCCGCGGGGAAUAGGUUCCCGGUUUUGGUCCCCCCCCCCGGCCCCCCCAGGAGAGUUGGUACCACCGGAAGUGGGGGAGGUACCUUUUUGGAGCCAGCCGC
rnacentral:rRNA from 1 species